AUACGGAGGAUCCGAGCGUUAUCCGGAUUUAUUGGGUUUAAAGGGAGCGUAGGUGGAUUGUUAAGUCAGUUGUGAAAGUUUGCGGCUCAACCGUAAAAUUGCAGUUGAAACUGGCAGUCUUGAGUACAGUAGAGGUGGGCGGAAUUCGUGGUGUAGCGGUGAAAUGCUUAGAUAUCACGAAGAACUCCGAUUGCGAAGGCAGCUCACUAGACCGUUACUGACACUGAUGCUCGAAAGUGUGGGUAUCAAACAGGAUUAGAUACCCUGGUAGUCCACACAGUAAACGAUGAAUACUCGCUGUUUGCGAUAUACAGUAAGCGGCCAAGCGAAAGCAUUAAGUAUUCCACCUGGGGAGUACGCCGGCAACGGUGAAACUCAAAUGAAUUGGCGGGG
rnacentral:rRNA from 1 species